rnacentral:rRNA from 1 species
AUGGAGGAGACUAAUCGGACAAAACUCAUUUGGUUUAUUGGCCCCCUGGUGCUUAGGGGGGGGGGGCAUGAGAGGUUGGUCUCAGGAAAGCAAAGAGCAGCAAGUCACUUCAACCCCAUUGCAAAUCAGGGAGGGGAUGAAAUUAUGUCUUCUUCUAGCAGAGGAUUUUAUAUGAAAGAACUUAGAGUUGCAUUCUCUCUCCUUCAGCCAUAUGGAUCUCUGCCUCCAUAUGCAACGAUCCAGAGCUCCAAAUCCCAGGCUCAUCACCUUAAGAUUGUUCCUGAAUGUAUGUUCUUCUCAAGAUCGGUCGAGCGAAUAGCCCCAUGCCAAGCUGAGGUGACAGUUUCAGAAAAACCCUCCAAGCGAACCCAAACAUUCUCAAAUCUGAAUCUCCUCUGGGGCUUGAAUAAUGAUUUGAGUGUGAGAAGCAAAGGACAGUGGUCAAACUCCAGAGCAUUAAUGAAACCUCUGAAGGCGUUGACAAGCCCCCUGUUGAUGUUACCAUUGCUCUUGUCUGCCGCUGCAGCAAUUAAAUUGAAAUCACCCAAGAGUACUAGAGAAAGAGGGGAAUUCAUGCAUAGCAUCUGCAGGAAAUUGAUCAUGCAUCUUAUGCUCAACAGGCCUUCGAGCUUUCACCGUUCAAUUAUUUACUUUGAGUUCUUUGCUCAAGCAUCUUCGGGGAGUCAGACGUUGAAUCUCACCUUGCAAGUGUGCAAAAGAGUUUGGAUUGCUGUUCGCAAGUUUCAAGGAACUGGAAUCGUGCGGCAGCAUUGGAGGAUCCUCACGAUUGAUCUUUCCAGUUCACUGACUUCAAUCAGUGAUGAUGAAACAAGGGCACUUAAUGGUAAUGAACUUGACUCAGAUGAUUGCAUAACCCAAGACGACAGAUUAGUCCAGGAGAGUUUCUAUAGUCAGUGUCCACUGCACCUGAAAGAUCUGAGGAGGAACCAAAAGGAAGGUGUUGCGUGUGAUGAGGAUGAUUACGACAACUACCGUAAAGCAGCAGUGGGGUAUGAUGAAGCAGUGCUAUGGGAAGGCAGGGGGUGGGGAGUGGCGGUUGUUGAUGCUUUUAGGGAGGGUGGCCAGAAAGAAGAGUAUCUUUUUACGGAAGGAAAGAAGUAUUAUAGGAUGGCUCGAUUAUCUGGUGAAAAAUAUGCUGGGGAGAUCACCAUGUCCAAACAGGAGGCAAAAGAUGAGUUAUGUCUUGAUCUACAGUCACAAGAUGCAGCAAACAUAGCAAAUCUUCUGAGACUUCAUCUUAGGCAGUUGGAUAACAACAUCCCAUGUCGUAGGGUUGGUGAGGGGGAAAUGAGUGAGGGCUCUGGCGACCCGCCAGGCGACCCGGCGGCGUCCGAGGGCGCGGCCGCUGCUCCUCCUCCAUCGUCCUCCCCAAGUCCGGCAGUCGUCCCCAGCCACCCUCACGCCGCUCUGGCUGCUGGCUCCUGCCCUGGAGGUAACCCUAACUCGCUCUUUGUCGGUUGUUCGUCCCAUGCUCCUCCCUGUGCCUCGGUUCCGCGUCCUGGCAUUGCCUUCCGUCAGCGUGUGUUGGCCUCGUUCCUCACCUCUGUGUCUCGCAACACGGUGGCCUUCCCUGAGCUGGGCCCCCCCGCUCAUCGCCUCCCCCGACGGGCUCUGGUCUUCUCUAUUGAGGUAGCUAGCCCCGCCGUCACCGAGUUCCUCAUCGCCGUCGGCCCUGGACUCUUGCACGCCAUCAACCUCUCGCUGUUCGUCUCUAAGGGUGGGGCCUACGCUACUGCGGCCAGGGCCCGGGCUCGUGCUGUGCGCGUGUCUCGCGCUUCGCGCGUGGCUGGCCGCGGUCACCAACCGGGAGUUACUGCGGGAGGGGCUAGGGCUAGCCGCCAUAGGCUUUUAGAGAUUUGGUGCCCCAUCCCCUUAGGGUUUAAUUCCCUCGGUUUGCUCCCCCUACCGCAGGCUAACGUUUCGCUCGCUGAUUCAUCGAGAACGCCCGAGAGAUCUCCUGCCCAUCCCGUGCCCGAUCUCCCGCCGAGUUUGGUCGCAUCCCAGUGCGACAACUCCGCUGUCCGUAGCGGCUGUUCGCCGGACAUUGACUGCAGGGGGGAUGGCUCAGCGGCGGCUGUCUCGUCAGCGUUUACUACCCCUGCUGGUGUGGGGGGAAGCCCAUAUCGGGACGCGCUCCUCUCCACUAACCAUAGCCAUAACCCUGCCCCGCGCCCUUUCAUCCCUCCGCUAUCGCUCUCGGGUUGUUUCCGCUGCCUCUCCACUCUCCAUUUCGUCAGGGACUGCCGCGACCCUGUUCGUUGCCGUCGCUGCCGUGUCUCGGGCUACCGCGCCGGAUCGCCGCGUUGCACCAUGGCAUCCCCUCACAAGUCCUCGCCCCACCAUGCCGCCUGCACCUCCCCUCCCAGGCCGAUGCCCUCCGCCACACCACCGCCUCCGCCGCCACCUCCUCCUGCCCGGCGCCCCGCCACCCCGUACCCCUCUGCCGCCGCCUGUGCUGCCCGGGCCCUGGUUGACGUGCCCCUCCUUGGGGGGUUUGAAACUGGGGGGGCCAGUUCGCUGGCGGAGAGCGUCCCUGAAGUGUGCAAGGAACCGCGGUUUUGCGACAUUUCCACCUCUGCUGUGGUGUCUUCUCCGCCGCCGUCCCCCGUCCCCUCCUCUCCGGUGACAAGCCACCCCGAGCCGGUCCUGGGCGGCGACCAUGGUCAGGGGCUUGCAGUUGCGCGCCCUGCUCCCGGCUCUGACGGGUUGGGGUCCAGCAGCGCUCCAACUUCCAUCACGGGGUCGUUGGAGGGCUCAGAGUCCUCUCGGUCGUCGGGAUGCUCCAUUGCUGCUGAGUCCCGCCGCCCGGACUCAGUUGAGGUCUUCAUGCCGGACGGCGACUACUCCGCGGCCUUGCGGCUCGCGGUGGUCACCAUCGAGCCUCCAAAUGCCUUCUACAACGACACGGUGGCGGCGCAGGCUGCUCUCCUACGUGACAUCGGGCACAUCCUCCCCGAGACCAUCCCUUCGUCAAUCGGGGCCAUGUACCUGCGUUUUGCCACCCCGGCAAACCGUGAGGAAGCCAUGCGCCACCAACCUUUCAUGCACGAGGGCGCGCGCAUCGAUCUCCAUCGCGAGGAGCAGUAUGCCCACACGGAGGUGCAUGUGGGGAUGUGUGCCCUCCUCGCCGCCACUUGCUUCCCCUCCGAGCACCUGAAUCCUGUUAGCAUCGCGGUGGCCUUCGCGCCCUUUAGCAAGGUGCUUGAGAUUGACCCGCUGGUUCUUGCAGGGCGCGAGCUGGCCACGGUGAGGGUUGUGGUGCGCCUCCGCAACCCGCGGGAUGUGCCCUGUGACAUCUGGCCUAUCGGCAAUCGAUGGGGUGUCCGGGUGAUCUCCGUCUGGCCGGUGCGCGCGUGGGCCAUCUCCGACUCCUUCUCCAGAGAUGGGAUGUACCUACCCUUCUUCCAUGACCCCCGCCGCCCUUUGCACACAACUUUGCCGUCCUCCAGGGGACGCCAGCGGGGCGGGGGCGCGGCGCCAUCAUCAACGCUCCUCCCUUCCGGGGGCGCGGCCGUGGGGGCGGGCGGUGGCUCGCUUCGGUGCUGCGUGUGCUUGGAGCGCCGCCUCUCCCCGGCCAGGGAAGCGCUCUCCCCCUCCUUCCUCCCUGCCUGGGCCCUCCUCCCGCCUCUCCUCUCCUCCUUGAUUCGCCCGUCUCUGGCUCGAAGAGCUCUCGCUCUUCGUCUCCGUCUGGCUGGGAAGGAGAGCGCGGCCUGGGUCAGCGUCAAAGCCAAAGCCGUCAGACUCAAAGCCCUGAAAGAAGCUCUGACGGGGUGCUCUCCCAGGCUCAAGGCGAAGGCGGAGAUAGAUAAGAUCCUAGAUGGCGUUCUUGCCCCCUUAAGCAAGAAAAAGGUGGCGGGGCUUCGCUCGGCUGCUUCCAUUCCCACUGCCCCGGGUUUGGGUUCUAAGGACAAAUGUGAUGUUGUCAAGAACCUUGUGGUCUCUGCCAACCCUAGUCUUGUUUGCCUUCAGGAAAGUAAGUUGUCUGCCUUAGACUCCCGUAAGGCUACUACUUUCCUUCCGGGGCGCCUCUCGGAGUUUAUCACCAAGGAUGCGGAUGGGAGCCGUGGAGGUGUGGAGACAGCCUGGGAUCCUGUGCGAUACUCCCUGGUUUCCUCCUCUGAAUCGCGUUUCUCUCUCACUGUCACGCUGGCUUGCACUUCCUCGGCCGCGCGUAUGACGAUAACCAAUGUGUACGGGCCCUCCGAUCACUCCCUGGUGGAUGAUUUUGUGGGAGACAUGGUUGCCUUGCCUGCUCAUGUCUCAGAUGCCUGGCUCGUGCUUGGUGACUUCAAUCUUAUCCGUGAUCCGUCAGAGAAAAAUAAUGAUCGCUUUGACGUCAGGCAUGCCGCUAAGUUUAACUCAUUGAUCAACUCUACUGCCCUCCACGAGCUGCAUCUUUCGGAUCGCCUGUACACAUGGUCAAAUCGGCAGAACCCCCCGACCUUGGCUCGCUUGGACAGGGCGUUAUUUGACAAUAGGUGGGACGCGACCUUCCCCGACUCGACCCUCUCCUCCCUUCCAUGCACCACGUCUGAUCAUGUCCCUCUUUUGGUGGCUGCUUCCACCAAAGUCCCUGCCCCUUCUCGCUUCUUCUUCGAAAAUGCUUGGUUAACCGACCCCCUCUUCCUCCCAUCCACUCUCCCUUCUUGGGUUAACUCGAUCCGAGGCACGGGCACGGCUGGGAUUCUUUCAGCCAAAAAGAAAGCAUUUAGGUUUGCGUCCAAGGCUUGGAAAAAGCGUCACCGGUACAUUCCUACUUUUGAUAACGACUGCCGGUUCUUGAUCGGGUUCUUUGAUUUUAUGGAGGAAAACCGUUCCUUGUCUGCAGAAGAAUCAACGCGGAGAGGUGACGCGCGUCAGGCACUGCGAGCUCAAUUCUCCGCCAAUGUGCUCACUGGCGUCAACGCGGGAGGAGGCGGGCGGUCUGUGAUGGGGACGAGAACACACAGAAAGGCCGCCACGCUACUGGGCUUCUUCACCGGCCUCUUAGCUCAGACGCGGCGGCCCGUCUGGCAUUUCUCCCUCUCUGGGCUUUACGCCCCCUCGAUGCGGGUGGACGGCCCGCCUCUCAUCGCUCCGUUCAGCCGCACGGAAGUUAAGGCCGCGGUCGAGGCGCUGGUCCGCACCAGUGCGCCUGGGCCCGACGGGCUGGGGCCUGCCUUUUACCAGGCGGCUUGGCGCGAAGUGGCUGAUGAUAUUCAGAGGUUGUUCGAUGAUCUUUGGUCCGGCUCUGCCUCCCUGGAUGGGAUUAACCGAGCUUAUGUGGCUCUCCUCCUCAAGACAACCGGUGUGCCGAUGCCGGCUGAUUUCCGGCCUGUCUCCCUGCAAAACGGAGAUGUCAAGAUCUUGUGCCGAGGGCUGACGACCAGGCUUCAAAAGCAAAUUAUGGAUCUGAUUGAUGAAGACCAGUCUGGGUUCGUGAAAGGGAGGAGUAUCUUUGAAAAUUUUGUCUAUGCCACUGAAUUAGUCCAAUGCUGCCACAGAAGAAAAAUGCCUGCGGUUGUGUUGAAGCUGGACUUCUCCAAGGCUUUUGAUUCAGUUAACUGGGAUAGUCUCCGUUCUAUCAUGGAGGUCCGUGGCUUCCCGACUGCUUGGUGUGACUGGAUUGACGAGAUCCUCCGUUCAUCCCGCUCGGCGGUCUUACUGAAUGGGGUGCCUGGAAGAUGGUUUGAAAUAAAGUGUGGUCUCCGCCAGGGGGAUCCGAUCUCGCCUUACCUCUUCCUGAUCGUUGCAGAUGUGAUGCAGCAGCUGAUCCGUCAAGAUACGGUCAUGAGGCAUCCGCUGGCGCCCGGCUCCUCCGCCGUUGUGCUUCAAUAUGCCGACGACACGUUGGUUCUCAUGAGGGCAGACGAGGAGGGCGCGGUUCGUCUCCGUCAGAUCCUGGAUAUGUUUGCUGAGGCGACUGGGCUGCGGAUCAACUUUGCCAAAAGCACGCUCGUCCUGGUUCAUGUUGAUCAAGGGACCCAGGAUGUGGUCGUUCGGGCGCUGGGCUGCGCGGUUGGAGCCUUCCCGCAAACCUAUCUUGGGUUGCCGCUGUCGUGGGAAAAACUGAAAUUCGCGGAUUUUCUGCCAAUGCUCGCAAGAGUCGAUAAAUAUCUUGCUGGCUGGGCGGCGCGCCUACUCUCACCCGCUGCGCGUUUGGUCCUUAUCAACGCGGUUCUGGACGCCUUACCAACCUAUGCCAUGGCAGCCCUGCUCCUCCCCCCAGCUUUGAUCAGAGAGCUGGAUGCCAUGCGGAGGGACUUUCUGUGGAAUGUUGCUGAGAGAGCCUCAGGAGCGAAAUGCUUGGUUGCGUGGGACCGGGUUUGCCGCGCGAAAAGUGAAGGAGGGCUGGGGGUUCGCAGCCUUGCGGCCCAAAAUGAAUGUCUCUUGCUGAAAAUGGUUCAUAGGCUCCAUGUUGCUCAACGUUCGAGGUGGGCGGCUUGGGUCUGGGAGGAGGCAAAUGGGCGAUCGCUGCUUGGGAAUGGUGGUCGUGCCCUGGGAGAGCAGGGAGUGGUCCUAGCCAGGCUAAUCCCCCUGUACCGCGCGCUCUCUUCGGUGGACGUGAAGGAUGGCCGCACUGUCUCCUUCUGGAUAGAUCGCUGGCUGCCAUGCGGUCCUAUUGCGGUAGCGUUCCCUGCACUCUUCUCACACUCCGUUUCGGUUGAGGUGACGGUCUGGCAAGUGCGAGCCGAUGGGCUCCGCCGACACCUUGUCCCGCGCCUCACGCGGGUCGGGGAACAGGAAUUGGCUGUGGUCUCAACCCUGAUCUCAACCACGCCGGUCCGGGACAGGGAGGACGAGCGGUCUCUCAUCCACAUCAUCGCCCCAUGCGGGCGCCUGUCAUCUGCCAGAGCAUACCGGCUGUUGAGGUUCGGCGGGAGGACCUUGCAUUGGGCUCAGUUCAUCUGGGAUGCGCGGGUGCCGUCCAGAGUCAAAUUCUUCUGUUGGCUGAUGGCGCAGCGACGCAUUCACACCAGAGACGUGCUGCUGAAGAAGCACAUUGUCGAAGCAGAUGGGGUCGGGUGCCCAAUCUGUGAAAGGGAGCCGGAGAGCGCGGACCAUCUGGUCUUCUCCUGCCCGUUCGCGGCGGCUUUCUGGAGACAUGUUGGCGUCGAGAUCAAUGGUGCGGCGGUUGACUGCCUGGAUCUGCUGGCUUCUUCGGCGAGCUCGGUCAUCGGCUCUGCCCGAGACUUCGCCAUGCUCUGUUGUUGGCACUUGUGGAAACAUAGGAAUGCGGUUGUGUUCCAGGGGCAGCGGCCCUCUCUCGCUCGGUUGCUGCGGGGCUGCCGGGAAGACGCUCUCCUGUGGCGUGGGCGCCUAAAAACGGAUGCCCGGGGCCAUGUUGAUACUUGGUUAACGGCCCUGGGGUAG